UCCGACCGGGGAACCUCGGCUCCGGCGCUCUGUGGGCCUUAGGUGGCGGCUCUGUUGUUUACAGUGUGUUGUUCGUUGAGUCGCGUUUCCACGCCACCUGUGACGGUCAGCGGCGGUUGCCCACGGCUCAGCGCCUCCGCGGACUGCGGCCGGUCGUUGCCAUGACAGCGACCGCUGGGGGCCCUGGAUCUUGGAGUGAAAAUAUACUAGAAUAUUUUCUGAGAAAUAACCACAUCAGAACAGAAGAUGGCGCUGAGAUCAUCUGGUAUCAUGCUGCUAACCACAAGGCACAGGUGAAUGAGGCACUGAAAAGUCCUGCUCACAUGAUAGAGGCUGAUGUCCUUCUUCCAAGUGAUGGAUCAGAAUAUAGCCAACCAAUCAUGGCCCAUCCUCCUGAAACAAAUAGUGAUAAUACUUUACAGGAAUGGCUGACUGAAGUUAUAAAAAGCAACAAAGGCAUCAAACUGGAUUUUAAGAGUCUAGCAGCUGUGGAACCAUCCAUGAUGCUCCUGGAAAAUGUGAAGAGGCAUCUGCAGCGUCCUGUGUGGAUUAAUGCUGAUAUUCUUCCUGGUCCAAAUGGAAAUAGCAGAGUAGUGGAUGCAAAACCUUUUAUAGACACAGUGACAUCCUUCUUUCCAGAUGUGACGUUUUCCCUGGGUUGGACAACAGGAUGGCAUCCUGAGAAAGUCAAUGAAGGUUACAGUUGGACAAUGGUGAAAGAAAUGGAAUAUAUAUGUAAGGACCUAAAUCUGCCUGUAACAUUUCCUGUCAGAGCAGCAUUAGUUAGGCAGUCUUGUUCUCAGUUACUCUGGCUGUUAAAGAAAUCAAACAGAGGUUCAACAAAACUCUGGCACCCUCUUUCUUUUUUCCUGGAGAACUGGUUAUUUCAGAAAUUACAGAAGAGUAAGAGGGCUUUAAAAAUGUUCUAACUUUCACACAGGUUCUCAAGUCUAAUGUUUGGUGUUGAGAACUCAUGGCAUCCAAGGGCUAUUUCCCAAGUUUGGCAGAGCAAUCCUGGUCCUAGAAGAGACUUUGAGCCCAAUGUGGGACUCAGUCUCAGAAACCGCCAGAUCAUGACCUGAGCCAAAAUCAAGAGUUGGAUGCUCAACUGACUGAGCCACCCAGGCGUCCCAAAUUCUCCAUAUUAAUAGGACUCAAAGUUGCAGGUACAGAAUAGCAAUUUUUUGUUUUGAAAUUGGUAAGAAGAACCUUUGGAAAGUGUUUUUGCCUGACAAUCAAAAUUUAAAUUUCUGCCACUAUAACCAAUACUUAUUGAAUAUGAAAAUAAAACUAAGAAGUCAUGUAUGUGAUUGAAGUCCAAAAAUGUAACUAAGUUCAAUCAUUAAUUUCAACUUUUCCCACUGAAUCUAGAAUUGUUAAUACAUAGACUGUCUCAAUCUUUAAAAAGAGUUUAAAGAUUUUUCAUUAAAAUGAAUCUCAUUAAAUCUCUGAUCAACAUCCA